rnacentral:rRNA from 1 species
UACAGAGGGUGCAAGCGUUAAUCGGAGUUACUGGGCGUAAAGCGUGCGCAGGCGGUUGUGCAAGACAGAUGUGAAAUCCCCGGGCUCAACCUGGGAAUUGCAUUUGUGACUGCACGGCUAGAGUGUGUCAGAGGGGGGUAGAAUUCCACGUGUAGCAGUGAAAUGCGUAGAGAUGUGGAGGAAUACCGAUGGCGAAGGCAGCCCCCUGGGAUAACACUGACGCUCAUGCACGAAAGCGUGGGGAGCAAACAGG